UUACAGCUCAGCAGCAUGUAUUUUAAAAUUGGUACAUACAGAGAAGAUUAGCGUGGCCCCUGUGCAAGGCUGACACACAAAUUCAUGAGGCAUUUCCAUCAAGU
rnacentral:snRNA from 1 species